rnacentral:piRNA from 1 species
UGGACUCAUUUCUAGUUGUGGCUUUAAAAAA